rnacentral:lncRNA from 1 species
AUGAGUGUUUGUGUGUGGGAAGAGGAUGAAGCAGAGUCUCCAGGAUGCAUAUCUGCAUACAGUGCUGAACCUGGAACCUCUGACACAAAUUGCCUGCCUGAUCACCGUUCUGCCAGGUUAACCUCGUCGUCUUCUGGAUCAGAGGAGGUUCUGGAUGACUUGGACCUAUACAAUUACAACACAUCAAAGGAGGGACGAUGGAGACCGAUCCCAGCUGUGAGGAACUGCAGAAAGUUUAAGUAAGUCCAACGUUAAUGUGAUCAUUAAUAUUCUACAGCAAAAAAAGCUGAAACCUCAGUGUUAAAGAGAAACACUUCACACACAAAGAAUCUAAACAAUCACAGUCUGAAAACAUCAACUACUGGUUCCUAGAAAACAUCUUUGUUGUCUUCAGCUCUUUGACAAUCAGAUCAAAGCAGCUGUAAAGUUAAUGAACAUUGUUGGGUCUAAAGUAACCACCAACACUUUUCAUAGGACAAAGGACAACAAAGCACAACAACCCAACAACUUUUACUUGCACAAGGGGAGCCCGUCUGAGGUCUUUAAUGUUGUAAGCGUUUCACCCAGGUACUGCGAAAUCCAACAAUCUCCCCUUAGUGCAGGCUUUUUAUUAAAAUGUGACACGCCUUGAAGUUGCAUGAUAUGGGCAUAUGGUAUGGUUACAAUGAAUACAGCAAAGUAUAACAUGUUCCUGUUACUGACAGCAUUAAAACAUUGAACGCAUAUAUCCUUCAUAAUGACAACAUGUAAAAAACAAUAAUAAUGUGGGUGAUGUAACAUAAUAAUAGGAAAAUUAUAAAUCAGUCAGUAAAUCAUAUUUACUCUAACAAACAUCAGUAUCUUCUCUCAUUCAUUGCUUGAUGGUGCUUUAAUUCAAAUCCAACAGAUAAAACUUAGCUAUGAAGAGUUUCUUGAGAUUUGUUUCAGUUUCUGCUGAAACAAAUCAAACAGAUCAAUGAGACCAUUAAAACCAACUUCUCAUCAGGCACCAUGGAAACAAGUGUGAAGUCAAACCAACGUGUCUCCAAAACAGGCAGAAGUAAAGGAGAAGACAAACUGACCCCCUGACAUUGUUACAACCAAUAGGAGGUUUGUACAUUAAACCACAGACUAGUGUUUAUAUUUGGGGGCACAGGUUUUAUGCAAGGUUUUAACAAGAAUUAAUAUUAAGGCCGUUAAAUUAUUUACUGACCAAGAAGCCACUGAUUUGGUUCCAGCUUCAAGUCUACUCCCAAUCACGUUG